rnacentral:rRNA from 1 species
GUGGGGAAUUUUGCGCAAUGGGCGAAAGCCUGACGCAGCGACGCCGCGUGAGGGAUGAAGGUCUUCGUGAUUGUAAACCUCUGUCAGGGAGGAUUAAAAGCAUGAAUAUUAACACCAUUUGUGCUUGACUUAACUCCCAGAGGAAGCCCCGGCUAACUACGUGCCAGCAGCCGCGGUAAUACGUAGGGGGCAAGCGUUACUCGGAUUCACUGGGCGUAAAGCGAGUUAAGGCUGUUGAGUAAGUCAGGGGUGAAAUCCCUCAGCUUAACUGAGGAACUGCCUUUGAUACUGCUUGACUCGAGGACAGGAGAGGAAAGUGGAAUUCCCGGUGUAGCGGUGGAAUGCGUAGAUAUCGGGAGGAACACCAGAGGCGAAGGCGGCUUUCUGGACUGAUCCUGACGCUGAUACUCGAAAGCUAGGGGAGCAAACAGGAUUAGAAACCCUUGUAGUCC